rfam:Salmo salar isolate Sally breed double haploid chromosome ssa16, whole genome shotgun sequence.
AUAUAUCACUACUGUAAGUCACUCUGGAUAAGAGCGUCUGCUAAAUGACGUAAA